AUCAUUACAUGUCGUCCGUUGCUUACGAGUUCGUGCGUCUUGUUAUUUCCUUGUGUUUUCGAUUUUCCGUGCUUUCCGACUGCUUUUGUUUAUUGACUCUGAGAUUCCUCUCCUCCCUGUGUGACUACUGCUUGCCAAAGGACACUGAUCAUCUGCCUUAACGAAGACUACUUGCUGUGUUUUAUGGACUACGAUUCUUUGUGUUUUGGAUUUUGUUGUGCACGAUUCGUUGUUGUUUGCUAUGGGUAGUCGUAUGAAGCCUACGCGCAUCAUGUGCGUUAAUUGCCGCCUAUGUGUCAAUAAAUUGCGUCGAUACACUGCAUUGGCACUUGACACGAGGGUCACUGCUAUUAUAUGCAGCUGGGUUUAUCCUCAAAUUAUUCUGGAAGAUGACUAUGUGUGUGAGCCUUGCAGAGAUCUUGCAAUAGCUGCAGUAAA